GAUGAACGCUGGCGGUAUGCUUAACACAUGCAAGUCGAACGGACUCUUCGGAGUUAGUGGCGGACGGGUGAGUAACGCGUGAGAAUCUGGCUUUGGGUUCGGGACAACCACUGGAAACGGUGGCUAAUACCGGAUGUGCCGAGAGGUAGAAGAGAAAUUGCCUGAAGAUGAGCUCGCGUCUGAUUAGCUAGUUGGUGAGGUAAAGGCUCACCAAGGCAGCGAUCAGUAGCUGGUCUGAGAGGAUGACCAGCCACACUGGGACUGAGACACGGCCCAGACUCCUACGGGAGGAAGCAGGGGGGAAUUUUCCGCAAUGGGCGAAAGCCUGACGGAGCAAUACCGCGUGAGGGAAGAAGGCUCUUGGGUUGUAAACCUCUUUUCUUAGGGAAGAACAAAAUGACGGUACCUAAGGAAUCAGCAUCGGCUAACUCCGUG
rnacentral:rRNA from 1 species